AAACAUUUAAGUUCAGCAUACUGGUAUUACACCAAUGACUAAUACUAUCGAAAUCUUCUUGAGGCAGUGCGACAUCUAUAAGAAUAUCAUAAUCAAUAAAAGCAGGUAAGUAGCUCAGAAUAUAAAAUGUAAAAUUCUAAGUCAAUCGUUUUUUAACGUUAUUUUUAAAGCUCAUAACACUCAUGAAAGAGAAUUAGUGACAAUCAAUCUUUACGUUUAAUAUUAAAUGUUAUGAUUGUAAUAUUUCCCCGAACAAAAAAUCAAAAAAAAGGAAAAUAUCGAUUUUAUUGAAUGCUGUCUUAUCGUCAAGUUUUUACA